rnacentral:rRNA from 1 species
CAGUCGCCACGGGAACACGUAGGGUGCAAGCGUUAAUCGGAAUUACUGGGCGUAAAGCGUGCGCAGGCGGUUAUAUAAGACAGAUGUGAAAUCCCCGGGCUUAACCUGGGAACUGCAUUUGUGACUGUAUAGCUAGAGUACGGCAGAGGGGGAUGGAAUUCCGCGUGUAGCAGUGAAAUGCGUAGAUAUGCGGAGGAACACCGAUGGCGAAGGCAAUCCCCUGGGCCUGUACUGACGCUCAUGCACGAAAGCGUGGGGAGCAAACAGGAUUAGAUACCCCCGUAGUCCCUGUCUCUUAUAC